AACGAACGCUGGCGGCGUGGAUAAGACAUGCAAGUCGAACGGGAACUUCAGCUGUAGCAAUACAGUUGAAGUUUUAGUGGCGAACGGGUGCGUAACACGUGGGCAAUCUGCCGAGAAGUGGGGGAUAGCUCGCCGAAAGGCGAAUUAAUACCGCAUAUGAUCAGCUAAGACAUCUUAGCGACAUCAAAGCCGGGGCAACCUGGCGCUUUUUGAGGAGCCCGCGGCCUAUCAGCUAGUUGGUGAGGUAACGGCUCACCAAGGCUAUGACGGGUAGCUGGUCUGAGAGGACGACCAGUCACACUGGAACUGAGACACGGUCCAGACACCUACGGGUGGCAGCAGUCGAGAAUUUUUCUCAAUGGGGCAACCCUGAA
rnacentral:rRNA from 1 species